rnacentral:rRNA from 1 species
UACGUAGGGUGCAAGCGUUGUCCGGAAUUAUUGGGCGUAAAGAGCUCGUAGGCGGUUUGUCGCGUCUGCUGUGAAAACCCGAGGCUCAACCUCGGGCCUGCAGUGGGUACGGGCAGACUAGAGUGCGGUAGGGGAGAUUGGAAUUCCUGGUGUAGCGGUGAAAUGCGCAGAUAUCAGGAGGAACACCGGUGGCGAAGGCGGAUCUCUGGGCCGUAACUGACGCUGAGGAGCGAAAGCAUGGGGAGCGAACAGG